rnacentral:rRNA from 1 species
AGGAGCUGUCCUUAGUACGAGAGGACCGGGAUGGACGCACCGCUGGUGUACCAGUUGUUCCGCCAGGAGCAUAGCUGGGUAGCCAAGUGCGGACGGGAUAAGCGCUGAAAGCAUCUAAGCGUGAAGCCCCCCUCAAGAUGAGAUUUCCCAAUUAGUAAGACCCCUGAAAGACGAUCAGGUUGAUAGGUUCGAGGUGGAAGCGCAGCAAUGUGUGGAGCUGACGAAUACUAAUCGGUCGAGGGCUUAUCCU